AUUGAACGCUGGCGGCAGGCCUAACACAUGCAAGUCGAGCGGAUGAAGGGAGCUUGCUCCUGGAUUCAGCGGCGGACGGGUGAGUAAUGCCUAGGAAUCUGCCUGGUAGUGGGGGAUAACGUCCGGAAACGGGCGCUAAUACCGCAUACGUCCUGAGGGAGAAAGUGGGGGAUCUUCGGACCUCACGCUAUCAGAUGAGCCUAGGUCGGAUUAGCUAGUUGGUGGGGUAAAGGCCUACCAAGGCGACGAUCCGUAACUGGUCUGAGAGGAUGAUCAGUCACAUGAGGACUGGGACAUGGUCCAGAACGCGACGGGAGGCAGCAGAAGGGAAUCGUGCGCAGAGGGCGAAAGCUUGACUGAGCAAAGCCGGGUGAGUGAUGAAGGUCUUCGGAUCGUAAAGCUCUGUUAUUAGGGAAGAACCAAAGUGAAAGAAACCGUGCAAGUCUUGACGGUACCGGAUCAGAAAGCGACGGCUAACUACGUG
rnacentral:rRNA from 1 species